rnacentral:rRNA from 1 species
GACGAACGCUGGCGGCGUGCUUAACACAUGCAAGUCGAACGGAAAGACCCUGCUUUUGUGGGGUGCUCGAGAGCCGAACGCGUGAGUGACACGUGAGUAAAAUGCCCUUAACUUUGGGAUAUCUUCAGGAAAAUCGGGCUAUUACCGGAUAGGAUAUCUUGCUGCAUGGUGUGGGAUGGAAAGUUUCGGCGGUUGUGGAUGGACUAGAGGCUUAUCAGCUUCAUGGGGUGGUAGUUGAUUACCAAGUUUUUGAAGGGUAGGCGGCCUGAGAGGGUGACCAGCCACAAGGGGACUGAGAGACGGCGCAGACGCCUACGGUAGGCAACAGGGGGGAAUAUGGCACAGUGGGCGGAAGUCUGAUGUGGCAACGCCGCGUGCGGGAUGACGGCCUUCGAGUUGUAAACCGCUUUGGCAUGUGACGAGGAGGUAGUGACGGUAAUGGGUAAGGAAGCACCGGCUAACUACGUG